GAUGAACGCUGGCGGCGUGCCUAAUACAUGCAAGUCGAGCGAACAGAUGAGGAGCUUGCUCCUCUGACGUUAGCGGCGGACGGGUGAGUAACACGUGGAUAACCUACCUAUAAGACUGGGAUAACUUCGGGAAACCGGAGCUAAUACCGGAUAAUAUAUUGAACCGCAUGGUUCAAUAGUGAAAGACGGUUUUGCGGUCACUUAUAGAUGGAUCCGCGCCGCAUUAGCUAGUUGGUAAGGUAACGGCUUACCAAGGCAACGAUGCGUAGCCGACCUGAGAGGGUGAUCGGCCACACUGGAACUGAGACACGGUCCAGACUCCUACGGGAGGCAGCAGUAGGGAAUCUUCCGCAAUGGGCGAAAGCCUGACGGAGCAACGCCGCGUGAGUGAUGAAGGUCUUCGGAUCGUAAAACUCUGUUAUUAGGGAAGAACAAAUGUGUAAGUAACUAUGCACGUCUUGACGGUACCUAAUCAGAAAGCCACGGCUAACUACGUG
rnacentral:rRNA from 1 species